UACGUAGGGGGCAAGCGUUGUCCGGAAUUAUUGGGCGUAAAGAGCGUGUAGGCGGUCCGGUAAGUCCGCUGUGAAAGUCCAGGGCUCAACCCUGGAAUGCCGGUGGAUACUGCCGGGCUAGAGUCCGGAAGAGGCGAGUGGAAUUCCUGGUGUAGCGGUGAAAUGCGCAGAUAUCAGAAGGAACACCGAUGGCGAAGGCAGCUCGCUGGGACGGUACUGACGCUGAGACGCGAAAGCGUGGGGAGCAAACAGG
rnacentral:rRNA from 1 species